UGGGGAAUAUUGCACAAUGGGCGAAAGCCUGAUGCAGCAACGCCGCGUGAGUGAUGAAGGCCUUCGGGUUGUAAAGCUCUGUCUUUUGGGACGAUAAUGACGGUACCAAAGGAGGAAGCCACGGCUAACUACGUGCCAGCAGCCGCGGUAAUACGUAGGUGGCAAGCGUUGUCCGGAUUUACUGGGCGUAAAGGAUGCGUAGGCGGAUUUUUAAGUGAGAUGUGAAACCUAAGCUUAACUUGGGGACUGCAUUUCAUACUGGAAAUCUAGAGUGCGGGAGAGGAGAAUGGAAUUCCUAGUGUAGCGGUGAAAUGCGUAGAGAUUAGGAAGAACACCAGUGGCGAAGGCGAUUCUCUGGACCGUAACUGACGCUGAGGCAUGAAAGCGUGGGGUAGCAAACAGGAUUAGAUACCCUGGUAGUCCACGCCGUAAACGAUGAGUACUAGGUGUAGGAGGUAUCGACCCCUUCUGUGCCGCAGUUAAACACAAUAAGUACUCCGCCUGGGAAGUACGAUCGCAAGAUUAGAACUCAAAUGAAUUGACGGGGUCAUAGCUGUUUCC
rnacentral:rRNA from 1 species